GUCUUUUUGCUGGUUCUGGCUUGCUGUUUGCAGCCGCCUUGAACUGUGGCCCAGCCAUGCCCACCUGCCUUGGAGCCAACUGAGUGUGGACUGAAACCUCCAAAAACUCUUUUUGUCAGUGACCAAACACCUGAACCCACAUUCUAAAGGAAGAAAUGGCUUAUUCAGCCCAUGGUUCCAGAGGAUUGACUCCAUGGCAAGCUGGUUCCAAGGCAGGAACAUCGUGGCAGGACUUCAUAAAGCAAAGCUGCUCAUUUCAUGAUGGCCGGAAGCAGGGCAGGAGAACAGCACCCGUGAGGCCAGGAAACAGAUGCAGUACCAAGGCCACACUCCAUGAGCCGCCCAGACACACCCACAGGCGUGUUUUAAUUGCCUGGGCAGCUCUUAAGCCAUUUUUGUUUGUUUGUUUUUUAAGAUCCCAUCUCGCUGAGUGGUUUAGGCUGGGCUUGACCUCCCUGUGCAGCACGGGUUGGCCUGGAACUAAGGGUGGCCUUUUGCCUUCAUCUCCCAAGUGAUGGGAUCACAGGUGUGCGCCACCAUGUUUGUCUAAAGCCAAUUAAAUUGACAAUCCAGGCUA